rnacentral:rRNA from 1 species
AUUGAACGCUGGCGGCAGGCCUAACACAUGCAAGUCGAGCGUGAAAGUCCUUCGGGAUGAGUAAAGCGGCGGACGGGUGAGUAACGCGUAGGAAUCUACCUGAUAGUGGGGGAGUAACGUUUCGAAAGGAACGCUAAUACCGCAUACGUUCUGAGGAAGAAAGCAGGGGCUCGCAAGACCUUGCGCUAUCAGAUGAGCCUGCGUCCGAUUAGCUAGUUGGUGGGUAAAGGCCUACCAAGGCGACGAUCGGUAACUGGUCUGAGAGGAUGAUCAGUCACACUGGAACUGAGACACGGUCCAGACUCCUACGGGAGGCAGCAGUGGGGAAUAUUGGACAAAUGGGCGAAAGCCUGAUCCAGCCAUGCCGCGUGAGUGAUGAAGGCCUUAGGGUUGUAAAGACUCUUCACCGGUGAAGAUAAUGACGGUAACCGGAGAAGAAGCCCGGC